UACGAAGGGGGCUAGCGUUGCUCGGAAUCACUGGGCGUAAAGCGCACGUAGGCGGAUUGCUAAGUCAGGGGUGAAAUCCUGGAGCUCAACUCCAGAACUGCCUUUGAUACUGGCGACCUUGAGUCCGGGAGAGGUGAGUGGAACUGCGAGUGUAGAGGUGAAAUUCGUAGAUAUUCGCAAGAACACCAGUGGCGAAGGCAGCUCGCUGGGACGUGACUGACGCUGAUGUGCGAAAGCGUGGGGAGCAAACAGG
rnacentral:rRNA from 1 species